UACGAGGGGGGCGAGCGUUGUUCGGAAUUAUUGGGCGUAAAGGGUGCGUAGGCGGUCUGAUAAGUCAUCUGUGAAAUCUAUGGGCUCAACCCAUAGUCUGCAGGCGAAACUGUCGGGCUUGAGUAUGGGAGAGGUGAGUGGAAUUUCCGGUGUAGCGGUGAAAUGCGUAGAUAUCAGGAGGAACACCGGUGGCGAAGGCGGGUCUCUGGGCCGAUACUGACGCUGAGGAGCGAAAGCGUGGGGAGCGAACAGG
rnacentral:rRNA from 1 species